AAGAAUUUUUGGGGUACAAAUUAACUUUAAGAUUUUUUAAGAGGGGCAUUUCUCCACGUUUAACUCAAUUAAUCAAAUUACUUUAUAUAGUUUCUACCAAACCUUUUAGUAACAAAGGGCCUCUUUUUUCAACCGUAGUGAUAUGAGAUGAACAUAAAUAUAUGUGCUCAACGUGGAUUAUUCCAACAUUAAGAAGAACCAUAGGCUAACAAACAAGAUAUCCACCACCAUAGCCAUGAAGUCCAUCCUGGUUGUGUUCCUACUCUUUUCUCUUCUCCUUGUUACUAACUUGAGUUGUGCUACAAAAGAAAACAUGGUAGAAUAUUGGAAGAAUAUGAUGAAGGGUGAAGCUAUGCCAGAAGCAAUUAAGGGACUUAAUUCAGGAUCCACAAGCAAUAUAUGCAGGGAAUGGACUUUGAUGUAAAGCCUAAUGUCAUAUUAUAUCACACCCAUGUUAUGUCCAUGAAGCAGACCUGAAGUUGAACAAACUAGCUCCUAUACAUAUAUACGUAUAUACAUCAUGAAUGUAUAGUAAUAGUAUAAGUAUAUAGUAUAUAGAUUGUAGUAUUAUAUAUUGUAUUAAUUGAGAUAGUGUGAGUUGGGGUGAAGAUGGUUAACUUGUUAAGCAGAAUGCUAAUUUUCCUUUAGAAUGAGUCUAUGAUGAUAGUGAAAGGUUAGUAAUAAUACUAUGUCUAAAAUUGUCAUUCCAUAAUUAUUAAGAAUGGAUUUUUGUUUAUGUUUUGAUUGUACCUUUUGUUCCUUAUAUAUCACAAUUGUAUUAGUUUGGUCUCUAAA